rnacentral:miRNA from 1 species
AGAGGUCUUCCAUGAUGCAUUCG